CUCCAUGCCUUCGCUUCCAAUUUGUCUCGAUUCGUAUGCUCAAGUAGUCAAACGUACUUGUUGAUUCAGGCUAAGUUCGAAUCCUGAUUCAUAUGCUCAAGUAGUCAAAUUGUUCUUGCAGAUUCAAACGUAUUUGUCCCUAUUCCUAUGCUCGAGUCAUCAGUUUGUAGUUAUACUAAUUGAUGUGUAUCAGGCUAUCAGCUGUAGAAAAUUCAGACAUAGUCGAGCCCGCACUUGUAGUUGUACUGUUAAAAAUUCAUAUAAAAGUUAUAUCAAUUUGUAGUUGUAUUCCUCUGCAAAAAAAGUCUAUAGUUAUACUAAUUGAUGUGUAUCAGGCUAUCAGCUGUAGAAAAUUUAGAUAUAGUCGACCCUGCACUUGUAGUUUUACCCCUUCGACGAAUGAGGACACCGGCAAGGGGGCGAUGUUGGAGCUGUAGAAAAGCCUAGAUCAGCCCAUGGACGCAGAGUCUACGAGACUGAGGAACAUGUACAGAGAAAAGAGGAACUACCAGCUUCCUUCAUCGUUGUCGUCGCCACACAUUGGAAAGUACUCAAAUAGGUACGGGGACAAGACAAUGAAUUGCGAUCAGGAAGCUAGGACGUCCAAUGGGAUGUCCAUCAAUUCAUAAUUGGCCACUCAGAUGAAGUGGAACAGUGGAAAACGGGCAAUGUUGUGAACAAUUUAAUUUGUGUUCUUUAAUGUGCUCCAUUGAAGCCAUAGUGAUUUCAGCUGUGUGCAAUGUAUUGAGUGUACAAUACUAACAUUAAUUGGAUUUGUAUAGGAGUUGAAGGAUGAAGUAUUUUAUGUGAUGCAUGUUUGUAAAGUAUCUGUCAUGAUGCGUAUUGUUGAAAUGAACGGAAUUAUUUAU